GCCUGCUCUAUCAAUUCAUGGGGAUAAAGCCCAACAUGAAAGGGAUUGGGUUUUGUCUGAGUUUAGAAGUGGCAAUAGCCCUAUAAUGACUGCUACUGAUGUUGCUGCCCGUGGUCUUGGUAGGACCAUUUUGUCAAAAUAUAUCCGUCUCGUUUUCUAGUUCUCAAGGAUGACAGGUCAGUGGCUGCUUCUAGUUUCUGAAUGACUGAAUUUGUGGAUUGGUGGGUGACAGAGGUGCGACCGUAACUGAGGUAGUUUAGUUUGUUCUGUUUACCUCUUAUGAGUGUAAGCACUGGCAGGGUUACCCGGGCAUGUUUUGUGCUUUGGUAGAAAUCUUGGGCAG
rnacentral:misc_RNA from 1 species